GUCUACGGCCACGCCACCCUAAACACGCUUGAUCUUGUCUGAUCUCGGAAGCUAAGCAGGGUCGGGCCUGGUUAGUACUUGGAUGGGAGACCACCUAGGAAGACCAGGUGCUGUAGGCG
rnacentral:rRNA from 1 species